UAGACUUUGGACAGAGCGGGCUGUCUGGCUAAGGGGAGGGCAGGAAGAAUGAGAGAGAGAGAGAGAGAGAGAGAGAGAGAGCAAGAGAGAGAGGGGAGUGAGAAAGGGUGAAAGUAGAGGGAGUCCUGCACCGGGAGAGUGUGUAUGUGUGUGUGUGUGUGUGUGUGGAAAAGUGGCAGGCUGUUUCUCUCCUCAUACACUCCUCUCUCUUUUUUCUCCUUCUCCUUCUUUUGUUCUCUCUCAUGGCUGAUUCUGUGAGGAGGUGGCUGAAGUGGCUGAGUGCAGAAACAGGAUUAGGCUGACAAACUCAACUCAGAAAGUAAUAAAAAAGCAGGAGCUGAAGAAACAAUGAGAAGGUGUGGAGCUACACAUAUGUGUCUGUGGGUGUGCCCAAAAAGUGCAGAGGAAAAAAGGGAACAUGAAGAGGCAACUUUGUUGGGAGAAAAUGAGAAGGAAGAUACCAACGCAUGGAUUCAUAAAGCACGGACCACAGACGUCUUUAUGAUUUUUUAAAAAUUUUGGCAACGGAAUCGGCCUAGUCUGCACCCCAAGCCUAUCUCUGUGUUAUGGCCAAGAGAAGACUGAAUGCUCCUUUUCGGACCGCACUAGUCAGUACCACGCAUGCCACCUCACACCACCUUCCUCUGCCGCUUCUCUCUCUCUCUCUCUCUCUCUCUCUCUCUCUCUUUCUUUCUCUUUCUCUCUUAUGUUAUCUGUCACUUUCUUUCUUUAUAACUCUCUCUCUCUCACCCUCUGGCUUUUUGUGUGUUGGACUGAGCGUCCCAGGAGGCAGCGUGGCCUCCAUCAUCCAGAAAAGAGAGGGACUGGUCAAAGCCCACCUGUUCAGCGUUUACAAAGAAGGAACAAAGAAUGACAAGUCUAUAGUAUGUUAAAUCUCCAGAGUCUUAUUAAAGGAGCCCAUUUUCUUUUCAUGGCAGUGGAGUAACUCCAGCUCUUUUUUGAAACAUCUGUGAAUUAAGAAAAAAUAAUCUAUGGUCUAACUAUUUAAAAAAUGUUUGCAUGACUUAAUCUUUGCUAUACUCACUAAAAUCAUUGCGUUCUCUAAUCUCUUCAACUGUUCCAACCAUCUUCUUUCCCACCGUUUCCCAGCUGUGAGCUCAGAAAAGGUUUCCUCUCACAUUCAUUCUCUCUCUCUCUCUAUCUAUCUAUCUCUCUCUCUUUCUCUCUCUCUCUCUCUCUCCUUUGCCCCCCUCCAUCCAACCCUCUCCGUCAACGAAAGUCCUUUCAUAAUGAAUGGCAAGGUACGAUAAUAGCCUUGCGGUUUCCAUAGAAACCAGACAGUAGCCCUGUGUGUAUGGCAUAUACCCCCCCCCCUUUUUUUUCCUCCCUCCUUUUUCAAGGGGGCAAAUGAUAGUGGAAUGUGAGGCGAAACACCUCCCUCUCUCCUUCUCUCCCUCCUUCUUACUCCGUGCACUCAUUGCACUGUAUUCCUUUUCCUUUUCUUCCCUUUCCCCUCUUCAGCCUCUCAGAAUUUUUACUCAUUCACUUUUUUUUGUAGUGUUACCUGUUUGAAUCUUUUGGAUUUUCUGCAGUUGUCAUAAAAUAAAGUACGAACUGAACUGACUAAUGGAAUUUAAACAACCUCUUUAAGUUCAAGAACAAAAAAAAAUGUGUCUGUGUUUUUCUUUCCAUGGAAUUUGAAUCUAUACAAAGUAAAAUCUUUUAAUGAUUAGCUAACACUUUACAGAAAGGUCCAUCAUUAUGAGAAAGUGAUUAAUUCAUUUAUUAAUUAAUGAUUAAUUAAUACAUGGACUAAUCCUUACUGAAACAUGAAUCAUAUACAUUAACAUCCAACUGUUAACUUCUUUUAUUAAUUAAUAAUGUGACUUGCAGUAUUAUUUAAGAUCAUUUACAUUAUGAAAGGUGUGUCUAGGUUAACGCAAAUUAUAAUGUAAGUCCAGCAAAUUUGAGGCCUUUUUGUAUUUUUGUUUUCCAACACCUUAUAUAGGCCAUAACAACUACUUUUCUUAACAUAUGCCAUAAUUCGUAAAUCAGGAUCAACGUCCUGAGAGAUAUCCCUUUUUUGAACACUACAUCAAUAAAGUUCUUUGAUUUUGUUCAUGUUGUCUCAAAGCAACUUGUUAGUACUCGCUUUGACUUACACUUCAGAAAUAAUCACAGUUAGACUUAAUCUGUCCCAAAUUACCUGAACUCACCCUACAGUAGAGUAGUUUUUUUAGGUUUGGGGAGUAUAAUUAUCUGAUUCAUUAUUAUCCAAAUACUAUCCCAAAUGAUCUUCUAUUCUCUCCUAAUUGCCAAGGGAAAAAUGUUAUCUUACAAUAGUUUAUAUAAAAUUACGGUUCGUCCCACAGCUGAAAAAAUUACCAAUAUAUAAUUUGUGUUUAGAAUGUAAUUUGUUAAGGUUUAUUUAACAGUUUCAUGCAGAAAGAGGUUUAUCAUAACGCUAAUACUUUAUAGAUUGUCAUCAUACAUGGCUCAGUUAGCUGUUAAACUAAACUACACUUUAUUAUUCUGUGAUAAGCUAAGGAUUAGUGCAUGUAUUAAUUAAUCACUAUGAAAGCAUUAAUACAGUAUGAGAAUAUGGUGAUUUAUGGACCUUACUCUUAAGUGUUACCAGUGAUUAGUUGUGGGUCUUUAGCUCUCCAGGUAAAUAACUUAGCUAGCAACUGUACCUGUUCCUGAACACAUUAUUCUGAUUGCAGGUUAAUAAGAAUUUCCACAAAGCAAUUUUUUGUGAAAAGUUAUGAAUGGUUUACAGUUUAGCAUUAACUGUAAUUUUAAAAUUCCAUUACAAAAGGCCCAGAAGAAAUGGAAUCAAACAACCUGAUUCACAGGAACUCUGAGAGUGAUUUACUGGAUUGCAUACAAAUUUGCAACUGUUAAACGAAUAAUAAUAAAAAAACAACAAACAAACAAAAAAAAAAACCCCGCUACUCCUUGCCAACAUAGUUUCAUCAUUACUAAGAAUUUACAUGAGACAACAAAAGUUAUGAAUGGUUAAAUAAAAGGAAAAAGCCCUUUGAAACAUUUCAGCCCGUUUCAUUUAAUUUCAUUAAGAAUAACAAAAUCACUCAUGCUUGCUGGAAUUCAUAAAUUGUACAUGACGGAAUUCAAAAAUCUAAUUUUGCAAGAUGUAAGUUUGACCUGGCACAUUUGCUCACUCUGAGGUGGCCAGCUUAUUUAUUAUCAAAAGAUAAAAAAGCAUUUAAAACAGUACCAAUAUACAACUAGUCAAGGCUCAAUGAGGUUUCAUCUCUUCAUCAUAUUUUACCUCUACAACAUUCUUUCUCGGAACACCUCACAACUGCAUUCAUUGAGAGGUUUUAUUUGCAGUGCUGGCAUUUUCAUUCCAUGCUAAUAAACACUUUCAUAAUAGUACAUUUAUAAGAAUUUACACAAGCCAAGUCAUUAAAAAAAGGUACUCAGUUAAGUUUCAGGCAAGAGAUUGGGUUUUCUAUGAGGGCGAGUCAAAUGAAAACCUUAAUAGUGCAACAUAAAUUAGAAUUGAAUAAAAUAAAUUAAUUAAAAAAGGGUUUUUAUUUGACUCACCCACAUUAUGUAGUCAUAAAUUUGCAUGGAAUCUAAAUUUACUGUAUGAAUUGUAAUGCUAGUAGUAUUGAAUAAUUACUGAGUUACAGGUUUAAAGUCUGUAAGAAUUUUUUUUUUACUGAACAUCUCCAUUGACCUAACACUUAAAAUUGCACAUAGCAAUGUGCAACACAUGGCUUAUCCCAAAACUCAUUUCUUCGUCCAAAGUGUUGGGCUAUAUUUUUCAUUAACAAAAAAAAAAAAAAAAAAAAAACACCUUUCAUUUAAGGCUUUGAAGCAACUAAAGACUGCAAGUCUUUAAGUUGCAUAUUGUUCUUUUUUGUAAUACAUUUUUAUUUUAACAAUAAAAAUCUAGUGCUUAUUAUUUGGUGUUCACAUAAAAACUAACAAUAACGUAACAUGUAUAAGAGUCUCUGAAACACAUUUUGCUUCUGUCGUGAUGUUACCAAUGGACUUAGAGGUACUGUAGAUUGAAUUUACUCAAUGUUCCUUUUUUAAUGAGAAAUAUUUUACAUAUUAACCAAUAAUGACAGUAUAUAGAACGAAAGAAACAUUCUCUGAAUUUGAUAUCUUUUAUUAAGGACUUCCUGUUUGCUGCUUGGAUUUAGAUGCCUCAGAAACAGGAGUUUCAGAAUUAUUAUCUAUAAAAUAUAAUGCAGAUAUAAGACAUAAAGUAAAAACAAGUAAAACAUUUAAUAUAACACAGUAUCGAAUUUACAUGGUUACUUUUCUCCAUUCAAGAAAACCUACCUACCUAUUUAUGUUACUCCGGGCUUUUAUUCUUUUUUUUUCUAAAUUUGUUAAGAAUUUUGUAUGUUAUAGAUUUUUAGAAAGAUAAUAGAUUUUUUUGAAUCUGGAUAGCAGCAGUUCUGUUAAAAGCAUGCUGCUAAAUUUAACGACAUUGCAGGACAUACACUACAGCAGGAUAUAUAAUCACAUUUAUGUCUCUUAAGCAAACAUUGUCCUGGAUGAGUGUUUAUUAAGAUGACGGGCUGUUUCCUGUUAGCUGCUGCAUGUGCACUUUUCAGCAUUUUUUUCAUGUGUGAUUUUGCGAAUCUCAAAACACUGCUGAUAAUUAAAUAAAACAAGCAAACAUCAAAUUAGCAGAAAUUACAGAAAUUGUUCGUAUUACUACAACAUGGCUUCUGAAUGAUAACAAAGCCACACACAGGAUCGGUUACUGUAGGCUGCCUUAGUGAACACAGAGCACACCAUGGUGCUGUUUCAGCAGUUUCUGCAUGCAAGGUUGCAACUGAUUAGAUCGAUGUGAACCCUAAAUUCAUUUAGAGCCUAUACAGGCUCUGGCUUCUCUUUCUGUUCUAGCUGAAGCAAUAUGGCACAUGGGGGAUGAAGACAUACACUGCAGUGGUAAGUAGUGCACACAGAUUAAUCAUCAACACAUGCACACACAUGCACACACACACACACACACACACUCAUAUGUGCGCACAUACACCAUCCUCGUCCAGCUGUCGAAGCCGGCGCUGUCGCCAUAGCGACAGCAGAGUGCUGCUUAACAUCCUGGCCAACAGCUGCUCUCUGUGGAGACGGUAUUGAUUGAGUCUGUUCUAGCCCCACUCUACCCAAAUGUCUGUGUGUGUGUUUGUGUGUCAAUGCACCUGAGACAAAGUGGUACAGCACCUUAUCUCUGAGCCUGCCAUGUACAUAUCUGUGCAUGUCAUGUGUCAUGUGCCUAUAUUAACUAUUGUAAUUACUCUAAGAGGACCAGCUAGUGCUAAACCCUAUAAAAAUGGCCCAGCGCUGGUCUCAUUGUUCCUGUGUAGGGCGGGUGGUAGGUCCUUCACAAGACCCUUCAUUUCCUUUCAGCACACUGUGUAUCAUCAAAGCCAGGAUUACCGUGGGCCGAACCGGAGAUCCAAACCUGAGCACCUGACAGAUCUAAGCUUAUUAGCUCUCAUGAAAAGAAACCUGCACAGGAAGAGUUUAGAGUUUAGAGUUACCCGCAGAUGAAACAUACAGUAGAUAAUUUGCUAACACUUCACCUCGCUUUUAGAUGCUGCAGAAUAAUGAGGGAAAGAGAGAUAAAUGUGUGUGUGCGUGCGUGUGUGUGUGUGAGAGAUGUAGAGAUGAACCUGAAGUGUUAUGAAAUGCACUUUUUGCACUUUCUAGCCUUGUUGUUUUCACAAUCUCAUCAGAGACAAGCAUAUUUCUAGCUGCUCUCAUCUUCCUCAUGCAUCUUGAACAGUUGUCCUAUCAUCACCAUCUCUUCAGAAACUCUCUCACAGCUCUUAGGUGUGCCAUCUCAGUCCAGUCAAUGUUUUUCUUUUUUAAUUUAUUUUUCAAAUUAAGGGAGAACUUUUCUGCACACACCUGUGGUCUAGUCGCCCCUUAAUCUCCAAACCUCUCCAUUUUCACGGAUUUUGGGAUUUCAGCUAAUCUUUACUGAGAAAAAUCUACUGAAGUACAGCGUGUUCCUCCAUUGCUUUUCUUUACUACCAUGCAUGACUGUGUUUAUUUGAUCAAAAUCUGAUUUUGGCCCAGUUGAUACUUGAGAUAUUGUUCAAAAUUGAAACAGUUUUUGCUGUUUGAACAACCUGUAUAUGCACUAGGUGUUUAUUUCCAGUUAGAAAAAUAACAUUUGCCUUGUUAAAAAAAAAAAAAAAGAAAAAUGCUGUUACAAUUCCUUAUAUUUCAUUCUAAUAGAUUCAAAUCUAUUUAUCGUAACAGGAAUGAUGCUACACCAAUCUAUAACUGAUUAUAGAGCUAGCUGUGGGUUAAAAGUCAUAACUUUUCUUACAACUUUAUUUUUAUGAAGUCCAACAAAAGCUGUCCAUUCUGUCCAUCUCCAUGCAUGUACCCUUCUCCAAUUUUAAACUCAACUAACAUCCAUCUUUUCUGCCUUGCUUUCCCACAUGCAUCUGUCUUAUUGUGUCUUCUACAU